rnacentral:tRNA from 1 species
GGGAUGUGGCUCAGUGAUAGAGUGCUUGCCUGACACCAGGAGGCCCUGGGUUCAAUCCCCAGCCCUG